AGCAGCCGCGGUAAUUCCAGCUCCAAUAGCGUAUAUUAAAGUUGUUGCAGUUAAAAAGCUCGUAGUUGAAUUUCGGGAUCAGUGGGUCGGUCGUGCCACUGGUAUGUACUGGCUUUGCUGAUUCCUCCUUCUUGUAGAACCGUAAUGCCAUUAAGUUGGUGUUGCGGGAAAACAGGACUGUUACUUUGAAAAAAUUAGAGUGUUUAAAGCAGGCUAACGCUUGAAUACAUUAGCAUGGAAUAAUGAAAUAGGACGACGAUCCUAUUUUGUUGGUUUCUAGGAUUGACGUAAUGAUUAAUAGGGAUAGUUGGGGACAUUAGUAUUCAAUUGUCAGAGGUGAAAUUCUUGGAUUUAUUGAAGACUGACUACUGCGAAAGCAUUUGCCAAGGAUGUUUUCAUUAAUCAAGAACGAAAGUUAGGGGAUCGAAGACGAUCAGAUACCGUCGUAGUCUUAACCAUAAACUAUGCCGACUAGGGAUCGGAUGAUGUUAAUUUUAUAAUGACUCA
rnacentral:rRNA from 1 species